rnacentral:rRNA from 1 species
CCUACGGGAGGCAGCAGUGAGGAAUAUUGGUCAAUGGCCGGAAGGCUGAACCAGCCAUGCCGCGUGAAGGUCAGUGCCCUAUGGGCGUUAAACUUCUUUUGUGCGGGAGCAAUAAUGGUCACGUGUGGCCAGACGAGAGUACCGUACGAAUAAGCAUCGGCUAACUCCGUGCCAGCAGCCGCGGUAAUACGGGGGAUGCAAGCGUUAUCCGGAUUUAUUGGGUGUAAAGGGUGCGUAGGCUGUGAGGUAAGUCAGCGGUGAAAUGCCCCCGCUCAACGGGGUGAAGUGCCAUUGAUACUGCCUGGCUGGAAUGCGGAUGACGUGGGAGGAAUGUGUGGUGUAGCGGUGAAAUGCAUAGAUAUCACACAGAACACCGAUUGCGAAGGCAUCUCACGAAUCCGCGAUUGACGCUGAUGCACGAAAGCGUGGGUAUCAAACAGGAUUAGAUACCCCAGUAGUC